AGCGAACGCUGGCGGCAGGCCUAACACAUGCAAGUCGAACGAAGCCUUCGGGCUUAGUGGCGGACGGGUGAGUAACACGUGGGAACGUACCUUUUGGUUCGGAAUAACGCAGAGAAAUUUGCGGUAAUACCGAAUGAGCCCUUAGGGGGAAAGAUUUAUCGCCGAAAGAUCGGGACGCGUUGGAUUAGGUAGUUGGUGUGGUAAAGGCGCAACAAGCCUACGAUCCAUAGCUGGUCUGAGAGGAUGAUCAGCCACACUGGGACUGAGACACGGCCCAGACUCCUACGGGAGGCAGCAGUGGGGAAUCUUGCGCAAUGGGCGAAAGCCUGACGCAGCCAUGCCGCGUGAAUGAUGAAGGUCUUAGGAUUGUAAAAUUCUUUUACCAGGGACGAUAAUGACGGUACCUGGAGAAAAAGCCCCGGCUAACUUCGUGCCAGCAGCCGCCGUAAUAC
rnacentral:rRNA from 1 species